rnacentral:ribozyme from 17 species
AGUAAAAAGAAAUUUUGGAUCGUAUGAAGGAAUAUGGAUACAGGAUGGUUCCAUAUCCGGUUUUUUUUUUCCUUUCUUUUUUUCCUUUCUUUUUUUCAUUCUUCCCAAGGUUGAGAUUGCCGAACAAACCCAGAGGGGCCAUGUCCUCGACAAGCUGCAUACGUAGUCGAUAGGAAAGUCAUCCAAU